CUUUAGGAUCUUGGUAGUUAGCGCCUUCUUUGAUUUGUGCCGCAGCUUGUCUAUUAGGCAUGAUGGUGGGUCCUGAAGACAGACCCAUUGAGGAAUGACCGCCCUUGAAGGUAAAGGAAAGAAAGAAAUGGUAAAGAUGCAACAAUGAGAGCAAAAGGUCAGCAAAAGAAGGGAAGCAACAAGGCAUCCAGCAAAAACACUGUCCUGGCUUGAACUACUGACAACCCUUCAAUCCGGACUUGGAAGUUAACAAAUUGCAACCCAAGAGAGACUCGUCACCUCACCAUCCGGAUACCUUUUUCUUUCUUUGCUGCUUCUCCAUAUCUGCUGACUUCUAAGUUCCCAGCUCUCAGCUCAAAGGGUAAAAUAUUGGCAGAGCCGUGGCAGGGGCACAACAAUGCAAUGCAGACUCCCCGCAGAAUAUCCAGUGUGUCAGCUAAAAUUUGACUGCAAAAAAGAAGAAGGUGUAGAAGUGAAAAAGAAGGAAAUGGGUGUAAGAAGUACAACCAAAUUUUGAUUGCAAGCAGAAUGAACUAAAGAGAGGAACAAAAGGACACGAGGAAGCAGACCUUCCAGUUAAUGUAAAAUAAGAAACAGAGGCAGGUAGAGGGGUGCUCUUGUGUUUUCCAGAAAUAUUUCUCUUAAAAUAAUUAGACAUUUGACCACUGGCAGAGAAAACAAUAUAUAAAAAGAUGAUGCACAGAAAAAUGUGUUGUUGUUAAUAUUUGUCAA